AGUGAACGCUGGCGGUAGGCCUAACACAUGCAAGUCGAACGGCAGCACAGUAAGAGCUUGCUCUUACGGGUGGCGAGUGGCGGACGGGUGAGGAAUACAUCGGAAUCUACUUUUUCGUGGGGGAUAACGUAGGGAAACUUACGCUAAUACCGCAUACGACCUACGGGUGAAAGCAGGGGAUCUUCGGACCUUGCGCGAUUGAAUGAGCCGAUGUCGGAUUAGCCAGUUGGCGGGGUAAAGGCCCACCAAGGCGACGAUCCGUAGCUGGUCUGAGAGGAUGAUCAGCCACACUGGAAGUGAGAAACGGUCCAGACUCCUACGGGAGGCAGCAGUGGGGAAUAUUGGACAAUGGGCGCAAGCCUGAUCCAGCCGUACCGCGUGGGUGAAGAAGGCCUUCGGGUUGUAAAGCCCUUUUGUUGGGAAAGAAAAGCAGCAGGUUAAUACCCCGCUGUUCUGACGGUACCCAAAGAAUAAGCACCGGCUAACUUCGUG
rnacentral:rRNA from 1 species